UGGGGAAUAUUGGACAAUGGGGGCAACCCUGAUCCAGCCAUGCCGCGUGUGUGAAGAAGGCCUUUUGGUUGUAAAGCACUUUAAGCAGGGAGGAGAGGCUAAUGGUUAAUACCCAUUAGAUUAGACGUUACCUGCAGAAUAAGCACCGGCUAACUCUGUGCCAGCAGCCGCGGUAAUACAGAGGGUGCGAGCGUUAAUCGGAAUUACUGGGCGUAAAGCGAGUGUAGGUGGCUCAUUAAGUCACAUGUGAAAUCCCCGGGCUUAACCUGGGAACUGCAUGUGAUACUGGUGGUGCUAGAAUAUGUGAGAGGGAAGUAGAAGUCCAGGUGUAGCGGUGAAAUGCGUAGAGAUCUGGAGGAAUACCGAUGGCGAAGGCAGCUUCCUGGCAUAAUAUUGACACUGAGAUUCGAAAGCGUGGGUAGCAAACA
rnacentral:rRNA from 1 species